UACUAGGGUACGUCAUAGACGCCAUUUUGUCUGUCGCGGUUUGACGUAUCGACUCCUCAUUCGUUAACCUCUGCUCGCGGAGUUCAAGGGCAUAGCUGUUGAAUAUAUGCCUAAAUGUAAAAUGCCUAAUAUAAAAAGGACCUGAUCGCGUUAAUGCUGAUGGUCAACUAUAGUGGUAAACCGUAGUAAUAAUACCCGAAGCACCGUUGUGGUCAAGUAAGGUCCACGUUUGUGUAGCGGCAAAUAACAGUCACACUGUGAUUGAAGGUUUUUUUUUUUUAUCGUUUUGUUUGCCAUGGAUUGGUUAGUUAGUUUAGCUAACCGAAGCUACACAAGCCUAACAGCUAGCGAAACCGUUAGCUUACGCUAGCCACCUCCACACACACACACACACACACACACACAGGCAUUUGACGAUCGUAUCCAAGCUGUUAUUGAAUAAACUUCAACUUCAACCACUACUUAACACGUACGACCUCCUGUAAAGGUUUACCUACAGAGAGGCACACCUAGGAACCAAAGCAACAUCCAUGGACCCACACCUGGCAUACUAAGCACCUGAAGAGCCAACACAAAGCCGAUCAGGACAUGCCCCCCACUUUACUCCGCUUUUCCCCCUCACUAUGGCUCCCUUGAAGUAUCCCUUAGAACAGGCAUGCAAUUGUUAACACAUUUAAUACCCAUUUGUUUACAUAUUUACUACAAACAUGUUCCUACCUAAACUGACAUGUAAAAGAAGGGAUCCUUGGAACUGGGGUACUCUUCUUUUUGCUGGACCACUGGUCAGGAACUACCAUGCUUACUGUUUCAGCAAUAGUGAGGUUAUGGCUGCAAUAUCAGUGGUACACUGCUCUACGGUGUCCUCGACAUCGCCCACGGAGGAGUGUAAAUGGAAGAGACUAUGCUGCUGAGGUAAAUGUCCCUGUGAUCCUGAUUUUCAUUACAAUAUUAUGUCUGGUCCACUGUUUUAAUAUUGUCGCUCGGCCAACCUGUGCUUUUAUGGAUCCUGGGGUUAGGGCUGGCCCUGAUAGUGUUGUUGCCCUAGCCAAGACUUUACAUUGCCCCCCCCCCCCCCCAAACUAUGACACACUAUGCUCUACCUCCAAAUGAUGAUACUGAUCUCACUUCUAUUGAAUACUAAGAUACUAAUUUAUAUUAAUUGAUGUUUGCAUGCUCGUCCAUGAAACAUGACCUGUUGUAUUUCAUUUGAUAGCUAUUUCAAUGUUCAGAAAGGGUAUGGGGUGGUAGUAGAGUAGUUCAGUAAGAGGAUGACGGUAGUGCCAAGUAUCCCUUCCUUUUCACAUUUGAAUUUCAGGAGGACAUAAAAAUGUUUUUAGACGAUUGUGUGUUUGCACAAGGCCUCACAGCUGCGAGCAGAUUUUUGUAAAUCAACCCAUGGUAAGGAGGAGUGCAGUGAAGCAAGGGAUCCUGAGUAAUUGUUGGUUCAUGACCUCAGCAUACAGAGACCCUCCACCUGAAGACCUAACUUCCUGCAAUCACCCGACACUAAAUGUCUUACAUUGAAAUAAAAGAUAAAACAACUCUGUA